ACGCACGCUGGCGGCCUGCCUCACCAAUGCAAGUCGAACGAGACCUUCGGGUCUAGUGGCGCACGGGUGCGUAACGCGUGGGAACAUGCCUUUAGGUUCGGAAUAACUCAGAGAAAUUUGAGCUAAUACCGGAUGAUGUCUUCGGACCAAAGAUUGAUCGCCUUUAGAUGGGCCCGCGUUGGAUUAGCUAGUUGGUGGGGUAAAGGCCUACCAAGGCGACGAUCCAUAGCUGGUCUGAGAGGAUGAUCAGCCACACUGGGACUGAGACACGGCCCAGACUCCUACGGGAGGCAGCAGUGGGGAAUAUUGGACAAUGGACGAAAGCCUGAUCCAGCAAUGCCGCGUGAGUGAUGAAGGCCUUAGGGUUGUAAAGCUCUUUUACCCGAGAUGAUAAUGACAGUAUCGGGAGAAUAAGCUCCGGCUAACUCCGUG
rnacentral:rRNA from 1 species